rnacentral:tRNA from 11 species
AGAGAUUUAAGUUAAUAACUAAAACCUUCAAAGUUUUCAAUAGAGAGUGAAACCCUCUUAAUCUUUA